UCUAGUUAAUUCUAUUAGUAGUUAUAUACUUAUCUUAAAGAUUAAGCUAUAUAUAUCUAAGUAUAAGUAAUUAUAUAGUAAAACUAUAAGUAGCUUAUUAUAUAAGUUAUUAUUUAUUUAAUAAUAUCUUACUACUUAGAUAACUAUAGUAAUUCUAGAGUUAAUAUAUAUUAAAAAUCUUAACUUUAGAAGGGAGGUAUUUAUUAGAUUAAAAACUAAUACCCUCUAGGCUCCUUAGUAAUUUAUAAUAACUUUUUAAAUUAUAUAGCCUUAUACUAGUAAUAGUUUAUUUAAAUUUCUUCCUUAUUAACUUUUAAUAUUUAGGUAUUAGCUAAAUAUAGUUAUAAUAGGUAAUAGAGGGUUAAGGCUUAACCCUAGAGAAGGAGCUUAAGAAAUAGCUACUAUAUUUAAAGAAGGUAAUAAGUAUAUAAAUUACCUAAUCCUAAUUUAAGGAGGUAGUAAUAAUAAAUACUAAUAUAAGGCUCUUUUAGGUCUUAUAAUUAGAAUAAGUAUAAUUUAAAUCUCUUAAUAAGAAAUAAUUAGAGGGUAAGUCUAAUACUAGUAGCUAUAGUAAUUCUAGCUUUAAUAGUAUAUAUUAAAGUUAUUAUAAUUAAAAUACUUAUAAUUAAACCUUAGGCCUAGCUAGCUAGUCUACCUUACUAUAUAUACUAGUCUAGUUAGGCCUUUCCCUCUAUAGAACCUUAUGCCUUUUACUAGGUAUAAUAGGGAAAUAGGACUUUUACUUUAAAAAAAUUAAAGUACUCUAGGUAGGCCUAUACUUAAAUAUAUUAGUAUAAAAUAAUAAAAUAAGAUAUAUAAUUCUAUUUUAUUAGUUUCUAGGACUAUUAUAAUAAUUAAUAAGGAUAGUUAGAGGUAUUAGUAUUUAAUUAUUAGAGGUAAAAUUCUUAGAUUUAUUAAAAACUAACUACUAUAAAAGUAUUUACUAAAGAUAUUUUUAUUAAUUAGAAAUAAAAGUUAGGGGAUUAAAGAUAAUUAAAUACUAUUAUAGUCUUAACUAUAAACUAUACUAACUAGGGAUUAGAUAAUAUUAUUUUUUAAUAUAUUUAGUAUCUUAUAAGAAAUUAAAGUACUUAGGCUUUAGAGGGAGUAUAGUUAUAAGGCUAAAACUUAAAGAAAUUAAUAAAAGGGUACUACUAGGGGUAAACUACUUUAUAUAGCUAUAGUAGCUUUACUCCUAAAAGUAGCCUAAAAGGGUUAGUAGUAUUCCUAUUUAUACUCUAAUAUAAUAAACUAAGUACUAGUCUCUCUAAAGAUAACACCCUUAAAUUAUAGGAAACUUCUAAAACUAGUAUUACUAAGCUAGUAUUAAAAAGGCGUUAGUAGCUAAGGUAAUAACCUAGGGUAUAGUAAAAGUAUACUAAAUAUAUAGAUAAUCUAUAGCUAAGCCUUAUUAUAAGGAAGGUUUAGAGACUAAAUAGGGGUAGGUAGUAUAUUAGAGGAUUUAUCCUCUAAGUACUUACUUAUAUACUACUUAAGAUAUAGUCUACCUAUACUAAAAAUAACAUAAAUUAGUAAGCUUAAAUAAAUAAGAGCCUAUAGCUUAAUUUAACUUAAUAUAAGGAAACUUACUAGGUCUAGAUAUAAUAAAGAUUAAUAGAUUAAGAGCUCUUUCUUAAUUUUAUAGGUAGUAGUAUAUAGUUAUUCUUAGUUAAUAGAGUAAUUUAUCUACUUAAUUAUAAUAAUAAAUAAGACCUUAAUCUACUAAAUAGCCUAUAUUACUUUAGUAGUAUACUAGCUUCUUAGAGGGACUAUUAACUUAAGCUAAUAGAAG
rnacentral:rRNA from 1 species